CCUACGGGUGGCAGCAGUGAGGAAUAUUGGUCAAUGGGCGCGAGCCUGAACCAGCCAAGUAGCGUGAAGGAUGACUGCCCUACGGGUUGUAAACUUCUUUUAUCAAGGAAUAAAGUGAGGCACGUGUGCCUUUCUGUAUGUACUUUAUGAAUAAGGAUCGUCUAACUCCGUGCCAGCAGCCGCGGUAAUACGGAGGAUCCGAGCGUUAUCCGGAUUUAUUGGGUUUAAAGGGAGCGAAGAUGGGUUGUUAGGUCAGUUGUGAAAGUUUGCGGUUCAACCGUAGAAGUGCAAUUGAUACUGGCUGUCUGGAGUGCAGAUGAGGUGGGCGGAAUUCGUGGUGUAGCGGUGAAAUGCUUAGAUAUCACGAAGAACUCCGAUUGCGAAGGCAGCUUACUAAUCUGCCACUGACAUUGAUGCUCGAAAGUGUGGGUAUCAAACAGGAUUAGAUACCCGAGUAGUC
rnacentral:rRNA from 1 species